CAGGCCUAAUCACAUGCAAGUCGAGCGGGGAAAGGCAGCUUGCUACAUUUCCUAGCGGCGGACGGGUGAGUAAUGCUUAGGAAUCUGCCUAUUAGUGGGGGACAACAUUCCGAAAGGAAUGCUAAUACCGCAUACGCCCUACGGGGGAAAGCUGGGGAACCUUCGGACCUUGCCCUAAUUAGAUGAGCCUAAAGUCCAGAUUAAGCUAGUUGGUGGGGUAAAAGGCCUACCAAGGCGACGAUCUGUAGCGGGUCUGAAUAGGAUGAUCCGCCACACUUGGGGACUGAGACACGGCCCAAUACUCCCUACGGGAGGGCAGCAGUGCGGGAAUAAUUGGACCAAUGGGCGAAAAGUCUUGAUUCCACCCAUGCCCUCGCGUGUGGAAGAAAGGCCUUUUCGGUUGCAACACCCUUUUAAUCCGAGGAGCAGGCUUCCGGAAAUUAAAACUCUAUGAAAGCGGACGUUACCCCAAAUAAGCACCGGC
rnacentral:rRNA from 1 species